GACCUCGGAUCAGGUAGGGAUACCCGCUGAACUUAAGCAUAUCAAUAAGCGGAGGAAAAGAAACCAACCGGGAUUGCCUCAGUAACGGCGAGUGAAGCGGCAAGAGCUCAAAUUUGAAAUCUGGCCCCUCCCCGGGGUCCGAGUUGUAAUUUGGAGAGGAUGCUUCGGGCGCGGCCCCGGUCCAAGUGCCCUGGGACGGGCCGUCGGAGAGGGUGAGAAUCCCGUCUGCGACCGGUGGCCGGGCCUGGGUGAAGCUCCCUCGACGAGUCGAGUUGUUUGGGAAUGCAGCUCUAAAUGGGUGGUAAAUUUCAUCUAAAGCUAAAUAUGGGCCGGAGACCGAUAGCGCACAAGUAGAGUGAUCGAAAGAUGAAAAGCACUUUGGAAAGAGAGUCAAACAGCACGUGAAAUUGUUGAAAGGGAAGCGCUUGCGAUCAGACUCGCCCGGGGAGGUUCAGCCGGCACUUGUGCCGGUGCAUUCCUGCCCGGGCGGGCCAGCGUCGGUUUGGACGGCCCGUCAAAGGCUCCCGGAAGGUAGCNCCCCGCUCGGGG
rnacentral:rRNA from 1 species